ACACUUUUUCUCUCAAACCACUGAUUUUGUUUAUGACCACAUAGUUACGGUUUUGGAUAACUCUACAUUUCUUUUCUUCAUCUCAGGCUUCUCAAUCUUGGGCACUGCUGACACUUUGGACUGGAUACUCCUUUGGAGCAUCUUUUGAAGAAACAAUAUCAAGGAAAUCCUGCCCAGAGUAGGAAAAAAUUACAGCUGGAUGAUAUGUGUAUCUAUCUGAAAACAUACAAUCACUCGAUGAAUGUCAGUUUGCUCAUAAGUCAGUUCUUAAGAAUGAAUUUCUGAUCCUUUGUUAGAGAGUCUGGAAGUUCAAAUAGAAAUACUUCCAGUUCCAUCUAUUAAAGGAACCUAAAGAUGCAAAGUC